UACGUAGGGUGCAAGCGUUAAUCGGAAUUACUGGGCGUAAAGCGUGCGCAGGCGGUUGUGCAAGACAGAUGUGAAAUCCCCGGGCUUAACCUGGGAAUGCAUUUGGUGACUGCACGGCUAGAGUGUGUCAGAGGGGGGUAGAAUUCCACGUGUAGCAGUGAAAUGCGUAGAGAUGUGGAGGAAUACCGAUGGCGAAGGCAGCCCCCUGGGAUAACACUGACGCUCAGGCACGAAAGCGUGGGGAGCAACAGG
rnacentral:rRNA from 1 species